rnacentral:rRNA from 1 species
CGGACGGGUGAGUAACGCGUGGGUAACCUACCCUGUACAGGGGGAUAACAGUCAGAAAUGGCUGCUAAUACCGCAUAAGCGCACAGAGCUGCAUGGCUCAGUGUGAAAAACUCCGGUGGUAUGAGAUGGACCCGCGUCUGAUUAGCUAGUUGGUGGGGUAACGGCCUACCAAGGCGACGAUCAGUAGCCGGCCUGAGAGGGUGAACGGCCACAUUGGGACUGAGACACGGCCCAAACUCCUACGGGAGGCAGCAUG